GGGAUCUUCCCGGACCAGGGCUCAAACCCGUGUCCCCUGCAUUGGCAGGUGGAUUCUUAACCCCUGCACCACCAGGGAAGUCCCAAGACUAUAUUUCUUGUCAUUCGUGAUCACUGAAGUCUGUUACUUUAGCUUGUGUUCAGCUAAUGUUUUGUCACAGAUUUCCUUAUGUUCCUGGAUCCAGUAAGAUUAAAAAAAAGAAGCUAUUCUGCCCUUUUAAAUCACCUGACCCAUGCUGCCAGGGAAGCUACUUCAGGUUGUGGGUGUUGAAAUAAUGGCCAGAUCUGAACCAGCCCCUCAGCAAACCGCCACAGGCAGAUUAAAAUACACAACUCAAAAUUUUGGAGGAGAAAGUCCCUAUUGUCCACCCUGGCUUCAGCAAGCUGUACCAGGAAUGUGGGGUGCUGUCCCCAUGGCUGUCUCACAAGGCUGGAUGAUGGGGGAUGGUAGUUGCUACGUGAAAUGCCAAAAUUCACUGCAAUUUACCAGCCUUUCUAUAUGGAGCACUCCCCUGGAUAUUGCAAGUGUUUGCGUAGACUCCAUAGUUCCAAAACAGUUAAUUCAGACAGUUCUUACAAGCUCAGUAGCUGAUUUGAUGGGGGGACAAUUCCUGGAGCUUAUCUGUGUUGGAAGGUUUUGAAUUACAAAUUCAAUUUGUUGACAAGUCUAUUCUGUCUACCUAUUUCUUUAGUAAAUUUGGUAGUUUGUGUAUUUUGAGGAAUUAGUCUGUUCCAUCUAAGAUGUCAGAUUUAUGAGCACAAUUUUUCAUAGGAUUCCUUUACUAUCCUUUUUACAGAUGUGGAUGUGGUAAUGAAGCCUGCAAUUAAGGUUCAGUAUUACGUGCUGCCUUAACAUUUGGUUCAGCUGGGAAGGCCUGGAAUGGCCUAACUACAAGUUCCGCUACCCACUCUACUUCCAUGGAUAAAGCCCCCCAGCCAAACAACUCUCCUUAUCAAACAGAACAGGUGCAGUUCCUGCUUAUCCCUGAGUUUAGUCAUCUCAUCAGAGAUCACCUGAGAGACCCAUGUUAAAAUCUAAUUUUGUAUUGCUAUGGAUGUAAACAUGGAGGGGUAACAACAAGAGGCAGUAUUCCACAGAGACCUACGGACAUCAGCAAUCCAUACCACAGACCUUCUAGGAGCUGGACAAUCCAAGUGUUAACAGUGUGGGGACCGGAAUACCAUGUGCCUAUUUAGACAAGAUUUUCAUCUCAUGGGAGGAUGUAUCUCAGGCUGUUUGCAAUGAUCUUUCUCAAGCUGAGGCGCAAGUCUGCAGAAGAAACGGCAGCUACAACCAGAACCUCAAAGAGAGGACGAUGAGAGGUGUGAUGCAUUUAAGGAGCUCAGCUGUCCGGGUGGAGACUCAACUGACGUGAGAGGAAGAUUAAUCCAAAAACCAUGCAUAGACACCUUGGGAUGCGCCACAUCACUUGGAUCACGUGUGAGUUUCCCUUUUGUAUUUUUGUCUGGUUCAGGGCAAAGCUGCUGAAAUGAAAUUUCUAGUCCCUCAGGGAGCUCAGAAGUUUGGCAGAAGUCAAAGCAGAGACUUUUUGAAAUGAGACACUUAGGAACCACCAGUGGACAGCCGGGCGGGAGUGAAUUGCAACGUGACUGUUGAUGUAGCACCAGGCAUCAAGUGGGGCCACAAGGACAGAAGCUCAGUGACUCCUGGGUGUUGAAGGGCUCCUGGGGAUUCAAAGCUAAAUUUAAAAAAAAUUUUAAGUGCCCAGGACACGGUAGUUUGUUAAUCUAUGUUUUCCUUUUCCUGCCCUCUCCUUGAUAUUCUUAAAUUCCUAUGUGCCAAUGAAUGAGCCAAAUGAAUAAGACAGAAGGAAAAAGGAAAGAGAAUGCCCCACCUUUGAAAAAGGCAUGCUCUAGCUCCCAGCAGCCAAAACUAACCUUCUCCCUCCUUUAAAUUUGAGAACAGGGUACUUUUCUUACCUAUAAACCAAGCAGAAAUCCCUCCAGGCCCAUAAAGUCUACAUUUUAGGCUCAGAAAUAAUCAACUGAUGGACUGGGCUUAUGCAGGGAAAACCUACCCGAGUCUUUCUGGACGGCUGUGGAGAUGCGUCUCCCGGAGGACGCGCAAGGCAUUUGCUUAGUGUUCCCCAGGCCAUCUCCCCAUCAGGGUGGUCUUGUCCACUCACCUCCCCAGAGCUCACGGUUAGGGGGCUGCGGUGGCCAUGACUAAGGUCUGGAGCACUCAGUGGAGUGACCCGAUCCCACAUGUAGGACACAGCAGAUCCGAAUUAUUUUGCAAAUUGCAAACCUUCUGAGUAAAAAGAAAAAAAAUAUACAUUCCAAGGUAUCUGUAAAGUGCCUGGGAGAUGCAGAUUGCUGCCCUGAGGUGCUCUGAUCCAUCUGUGCUUCAGUCUGCAAGUUAGAUUUUGCUACUGUCACACACGUGGUCUCAUUCACAUGAUGGUUUCGUUUUUAUUUUUUAAAUGGCUGAGUUAUAAAUCCAGCUAGUGUGCAGUAAUUUCAUAGUUUUUAAUAUGCAUUAUCUGCAACAACAUUGUGACAGCUCCAUACCGUGGAUUGACACACAAUACUUAGAACAGGUUUAUCAUAUUUGGUCUUUAGGUAAAUAAUAACUGUUUUAAAAUUGCCUAAAUAUACCAUUCUGAGCUGUUUCAUUCCACCAGGAAAAUACAGGGGUUUUUUCCUCUCUUUAAAAAAAAAUUAAAUACCAAAAUAACUACAUUUAAAUAAAUAAUGUUAUGACGAUGACAUUUAAAAAUUCACAAUAAGGCCAACUCUUUCUGUUUGCAUGCUGCUCAGCUCUGACCCCCAGAACCCUCUGGAAAGGUGAGUGGCUUUCUUCUGGAGGAACAUGGGCUGAGGCCGUGCGGGCCUCCUACUUCUCAUUCUCUCACCUUUGUUUCCUUUCCUUUCGCUUUUAUUUUUUGUAGGAGAGAAGUCAGCCUUAGUACUGAAUUCAGUUUUAAAAGGUUGAGGGGAAUUUCCUAUUACAAAUCAGAAAGCAACCUAGGUGUUUCCAAUGCUUACCCGGACGGAGGGUGCCUGCUUCCAAGACCCUUGUAUUAACAGGCAGCUUCUGCUCCACCCCAGCAGCUGCUCCUGCCAUGAGGGGGGCAAACCGCACCAUCAUCGGGGUGGCCGGCUGGUCGGACGAUGCCGAGAGCUGGUGACGGCACCUAAAAUAGCGAACGUGCCACGGAGAGAUCUGUGAUGUUUGUUUGAAAAGGGUGUGUGAUAAAAGAUUGAAUCUUUUUUUCCAAAUGAAGAAGUAAUAGUUCUUUUGUUUUAAACAUACACAAUACAUAGGAGACUUGUUUUACUUAGAGUGGAAAAUUAUGCCAGGGACAAAGUCAACACAAAGAAACAAACAACAAAAAGUAGCAAGAAAGAGAAAUGGGUAAGUGCAGCUCCGCGAGCCUGGCAGCUCUUUCCGUCAGGGUUACAAGUGGCCCGCGGGUGUCCGUCUGUGUGUCUGUCCGUCUUACACACGGAAAUGGAGGUGGAUUAAUUCAGGUAACUGCUCUAACGUGGAAAAUUUGUAGAUGUCAAGUAGCUCCAUUUAACUUAAACAGGACAGACAAAAGUAAAUCAUUCCAUAGGCUGAAAACAAACAACAAAAACAAACAAAACUACUUUGUUUCUUCUCCCCAAAUGAAAUCCACACAAAAGGUCCUGUGUGAUUCCAAAAUUACCAGAGUAGAAAUGGAGUGAUCUGAAAUGUCAAAGACCCCAUUAUUUUGUAAAGAAAGAAAGUACACCUCAAAAUAUUCUAAUUCCACAUGUGAACAACAAAAUACUGUCUCGUCUACUGGUGGCGGGGUGGCUCCGGCCCAGCAGGCCUGCUCGCACCGGGUGCGUCCUCCCUCGGAAGGACUGAGAGUAUCUACUCGGAACUAAGCUGAGCGCUGGGCGGGGAGACACUGCCGGAGCCCAGCUUUGCUGCGUGUGGUUUUGUUCAGGGGUGACUUCAGUCUUUAAAUUAAGGAGUUUUAAGGCCACCUGGGUUUGUGUUUCCAGUGCUGAGGUGAAGUCCAACCGCAGGGCCCUCUACCCACCGAGGGAACGCGCUCUGAGCGUCGGUGAGAGGCAGUGUCUCCUUUUGGCACCACAGAGUUGACGUUAAAGUGAGAAACACUCUCCCGGCCGCUAGUUCUGGACGCCCUUCUCCCGCACGGCUGCCGGCGGCGCAUCCAUGCUCAGGGCGAUGACGAGGCCCUCGCCAUCUUCUGUCUUGACCCGCUUUAGCUCUGGCUGCUCCGCCGGGUCGCCGUUCUGGCGCUUGGUGGGCAGGGAGGCCGACGCCGAGGCGUGUGUCGCCAGCAUGUGCAAGGGACUCGCCACUGCUGUGGAGAAACAGUGAGUCAGCGCCCGUGCUUCUGGAUGGACCCUCGUCCCCACCACACGUUAACUGCGUGAACAGCACAUCACAGCCUUCUGUGCCUAGAACACUCCAGGCCUUUUCAGAACCAUGCUCGGAGUCCACUUUAAACAGCAAAACCGGGACUUCCCUGGUGGUGCAGUGGUUAAGAAUCCACCUGCCAAUGCAGGGGACACGGGUUCGAGCCCUGGUCCAGGAAGAUCCCACACGCUGCGG